ACCCUGGUGGCUCAGAUGGUAAAGCGUCUGUCUACAAUGCAGGAGACCCGGGUUUGAUCCCUGAGUUGGGAUA
rnacentral:tRNA from 1 species